UACGGAGGGUGCGAGCGUUGUCCGGAAUCACUGGGCGUAAAGGGCGCGUAGGCGGCCUGAUAAGUAGGGGGUGAAAUCCUGCGGCUUAACCGCAGGGCUGCCUUCUAAACUGUCAGGCUUGAGCACAGUAGAGGCAGGUGGAAUCCCCGGUGUAGCGGUGGAAUGCGUAGAGAUCGGGAAGAACAUCAGUGGCGAAGGCGGCCUGCUGGGCUGUUGCUGACGCUGAGGCGCGACAGCGUGGGGAGCAAACAGG
rnacentral:rRNA from 1 species